rnacentral:rRNA from 1 species
GAUGAACGCUGGCGGCGUGCCUAAUACAUGCAAGUCGAGCGAACGGACGAGAAGCUUGCUUCUCUGAUGUUAGCGGCGGACGGGUGAGUGACACGUGGAUAACCUACCUAUAAGACUGGGAUAACUUCGGGAAACCGGAGCUAAUACCGGAUAAUAUUUUGAACCGCAUGGUUCAAAAGUGAAAGACGGUCUUGCUGUCACUUAUAGAUGGAUCCGCGCUGCAUUAGCUAGUUGGUAAGGUAACGGCUUACCAAGGCAACGAUGCAUAGCAGACCUGAGAGGGUGAUCGGCCACACUGGAACUGAGACACGGUCCAGACUCCUACGGGAGGCAGCAGUAGGGAAUCUUCCGCAAAGGGCGAAAGCCUGACGGAGCAACGCCGCGUGAGUGAUGAAGGUCUUCGGAUCGUAAAACUCUGUUAUUAGGGAAGAACAUAUGUGUAAGUAACUGUGCACAUCUUGACGGUACCUAAUCAGAAAGCCACGGCUAACUACGUG